ACGAACGCUGGCGGCGUGCUUAACACAUGCAAGUCGAACGGAAAGGCCCUGCUUUUGUGGGGUUCUCGAGUGGCGAACGGGUUAGUAACACGUGAGUAACCUGCCCUUGACUUUGGGUUAACUUCAGGAAACUGGGGCUAAUACCGGAUAGGAGCUCCUGCUGCAUUGUGGGGGUUGGAAAGUUUCGGCGGUUGGGGAUGGACUCGCGGCUUAUCAGCUUGUUGGUGGGGUAGUGGCUUACCAAGGCUUUGACGGGUAGCCGGCCUGAGAGGGUGACCGGCGACAUUGGGACUGAGAUACGGCCCAGACUCCUACGGGAGGCAGCAGUGGGGAAUAUUGCACAAUGGGCGGAAGCCUGAUGAAGCAACGCCGCGUGCGGGAUGACGGCCUUCGGGUUGUAAACCGAUUUAGAAUGUGACGAAGAGUGAGUGACGGUAAUGGGUAAAGAAGCACCGGCUAACUACGUG
rnacentral:rRNA from 1 species